GUCAGUGUCAGACGGGGUAUUCGGUAGAGUUUGUAGUGCAACAUUCAUUUGAAAUUAUAAAUAUUUAACUUAUUAGUGUUUAUUUCUUGUUUUUAUCGUAAAUCAUUCAUAGCCAGUUUUGAGUGGGUGAAUUUGUGUCUGUUUUUAAUUGAUGGAUUAAGCUGGGAAGAUUCUGAGUUUCAUGGUCGCGGAUCCCCAACAUGCCCGCCUGUGACCAUGUCCGUUCCUUCAAUCGACUGCUUCUGCAAACUGAUAGCAGGUAGAGGUGGGGAUGGACCGCCACCACAAAGCCGUGGUGUCCCAGGAGUUGGCCCUGGCUGCAGACAUAUUUGACCAGUUCUGCACGGCCAACACCCUCAAGACUAUCCUGGGACACUUCCGCCACCUCUGCGAUGUCCUCCACAUCAAGCCCACCAACUUCCCCAACUUCUACCCUAAGCUCAAGGCAAAUUUAAAAUCAUGGAAGGCACAAGCUCUGUGGAUCAAAUUUGACAAGCGAGCCGCUCACAAAUGCUACAACCGAGGCAAAGCAUGUCCGAACACCAGGGUGCUGGUUAUAGGAGGAGGUCCCUGUGGUCUAAGAGCAGCCAUAGAAUGUCAGCUGCUGGGAGCCAAGGUGGUGGUGGUUGAGAAGAGGGACAGAAUGUCCCGAAACAACGUGCUUCACUUGUGGCCUUUCGUCAUCCAAGACCUGCGAGCCCUUGGUGCUAAGAAGUUCUUCGGGAAGUUCUGCGCUGGCUCCAUUGACCACAUUAGUAUUAGGCAGCUGCAAUGUAUCCUACUCAAAGUAGCCCUAAUAUUUGGAGUGGAGAUCCAUGAAGGUGUAGGGUUCGAGUCUCUGCUGGAGCCUCCCGAGGAGCAGACUGAGAGAAUUGGCUGGAGAGCUCUAACUGAUCCUGCUGAUCACCCUGUAUCUCAGUAUGAGUUUGACGUUCUCAUUGGUGCUGACGGUCGGAGAAACACUCUUGAAGGCUUCAAGCGGAAGGAGUUCAGAGGGAAGUUGGCAAUUGCGAUCACUGCCAACUUCAUCAACAAACGCUCCGAGGCAGAGGCGAGAGUGGAAGAGAUCAGUGGUGUGGCAUUCAUAUUCAACCAAAAGUUUUUCAAAGAUCUCUACGCAACGACUGGCAUUGAUCUCGAAAACAUAGUCUAUUACAAGGACGAAACGCACUACUUUGUAAUGACAGCGAAGAAAACUAGUCUCAUCGAAAAAGGUGUGAUUCUCAUGGACUAUCCAGACACUGCCAAACUGUUGUCACCCGACAACGUGGACAAGGCGGCGUUGGAAGAGUACGCACGUCAAGCAGCGGACUUCUCCACCAACUACAAGCUACCUCAUCUCGAGUUUGCGGUGAACCACUACGGCCAGGCGGACGUGGCGAUGUUUGACUUUACCUCAAUGUAUGCAGCGGAGAACGCUAGUCGAGUGGUGGAGAGGCGGGGACAUCGACUGCUCAUGACACUGGUCGGGGACAGUCUGCUGGAGCCAUUCUGGCCGACGGGGUCCGGUUGUGCCCGAGGGUUCUUAUCCUCCAUGGAUGCUUGUUGGGCCGUGCGGAGUUGGGGCUUGGGCAACAACCCUUUAGAGGUGGUUGCAGAGCGUGAAAGCAUCUACCGCAUCUUGGCGCAGACGACGCCAGAGAACCUGCAGAGGGACGCGACAUCUUACACGCUUGACCCGCACACGAGGUAUCCUAACCUCAACAGUCGCUGUGUGAUGCCGGUUCAGGUCCGCGGUUUGUUUACGUCAGAUGCAGCCGGGGUGGUAGAGGCUUUACUCGCUGCUCCCUCGUUGGCUCUACAAGACCAGCCUAAGAAGCGAAGAAAGAGAGCGGUGGUGUACAGAAGGGAUACUCAGGUUCACCCCGACACUCUGCUACAUUGGCUCAAGAAGCAGGUUGCGCUGUAUGACAGUGUUCACAUCAACGACAUGAGCAGCUCAUUCAAGGAUGGUCUGGCGUUGUGUGCCAUCAUCCACCGCUACAGGCCGGACCUCGUAGACUUCCACUCUCUCGUCCCACAGGACGUAGCAAAGAACAACCAGCUUGCCUUCGACAUACUGGAGAGGGAGCUGGGAAUUCCACCGGUUAUGACUGGCCUGGAGAUGGAGCAGUGUGAAGUACCAGACACACUCGCCAUGUUGUCCUACCUCUCUCAGAUCUAUGACACAUUCCGUGGCGAGAUACCUCACAUCAAACACCCUAAGUUGGAUGAGAGUGAGUUGUUAAAGGAACAGAACAAUGUUACCAUGAUGAACACCAAGCUGCGUAAUCUGACCCAACUGUCCACGUCACAUCAGCGGACGACGCAGCACACACGACUUACCUCCCCGCGCGACCGUAGACACCCGAGACACUCAGACACGACACCUCGGCGUGCGCGCAAACGACGAAGCGACAAAGCCUCUCCUAGCCUGCGUAGGAGAUUACCACGAAUAGAGCUCAACGAAGAUAUUCCAGGAGGAUGUCUAGAACGCCAACUAGAGAGAGCCUCAUUGGCUGACCGAGAUGCGUGUAGAAAAGAAUUGGAGAAGUUGAAGAUGGAAAGGAUCAUGAGGAGGCAGUAUCUUCGACAUAAGGCCACUCAGCAGUUCCACAAAAGCAUGCAGAUGUUGAGUGGGAAUGCGAAAUCCGACGAUGACGACGACAAAACACCUUUCGAAGAUUACUCGAUCUUCGUCUACCGACAGACUGCACCUGAUUUUCGUGAUCGAGUGAAAGAGAUUGAAAUGAAGAUAUUGUAUCCCGAUAAAGAACAGAGAUUGUUGGCUGAAGUCAGGCGAGGUUCUAUGGACCAAGAGUUUUCUGGCCGGGUGAAACACAUUGAAGACCAAUUAAAAGGAGCAUACGACAAAAAGCCAAAAGAUCUUCAUAGAGCUAUUGGAAAAAUUGAAAAAUCUGAUUGGAACGUGAAGGAAAUUGAAAAGAAAAUUACAGAAAACAAAUUUGGCAGAAGCUCAAAAGGUCGUACGGAGCCCAAAGUCCCGAAAUGGAGCAGGGAACAGUAUGAAGAUAAGGUUCGAAGGCUCACCAAAGAAGACGGUAGGAACAACAAGGGUAGUGAGAUCGAAGACACUCUCAAGAAGAUAGAGAGACACAUGAAGGAGCGUAGUGUGCCUGAGCCAGGCAAGGUGUCGGCCAUGGCUGCCCAUCUGGCCAAUAUGAACCAGGAGCCGGAGAAACCUGUGCUGCAGAAGUCUAACUCCAAAGCAGCUCUGAACCUCCCCACGACUGGUGGCUCGGAGAUCUGCCAUUUCUGUGCCAAGAGGGUGUAUGUGAUGGAGAGAGUGAGCGCCGAGGGCAAGUUCUUCCAUAGGGGCUGCUUCCGUUGCGAAUACUGCAAGAACAUCCUGAGGCUCGGCAAUUACUCCUACGACAGGGAUGGAAAGUUUGGAAGCCAAUUUUUCUGUGUACAUCAUUAUGGCAUGACUCGAACGAGAAAAGAGGAACAAGCAAAUAACAAAGAAAAUAUUGCAAGACGAGUACCCAAGACCCCAGAAACGGUUAUGCAGUUGCAGGAGAAGGAUAUGAAUGACCUAGGAGCCACGCCUGAGAGGAUAGAGUUUGAGAACUUGUCAGGUAUCGGAGAGACGGCGUCUGACCACGAGGAUGCUGUCUCUGAGAUGGACGAGGAGGAGUGGACUGACCGCAACUUUGGAGCCUCGGCUGCCGAGGUGUCCAGCGACGAUGCGUCUGACCUUAGUGACAGUGAUGAAGAGGAGGCGUACGCGGAGGCGUUAGAUGUGGACGUAGGAGUAGGGAUGACCAAGGAUGAGACCCUGCGUCUGGCCGAGAAGUGGACGAGACGACACAGCAACAACGUCGCAGCGGACAACGAUGAGGAGAGUGGCUCUUGUCACGACUCUGACGACUCUCGCGACCGCUUCAGCUACCCUGAGUACGACAGUGAGGAUGAAGAGAGUGACACGGCAACAGAAGGAGAAGAAGAAGUUAAGGCUAGAGAACUGCGAAGGCAAGAAGUUCACUUGGAGGCGCCGGAUAUUGAAACAGACUCAGACACGGAGGUGGCGUCAGAUGAAUACACAAGCUCGUCUGAGAGUGAGUCUAGCGAGGAAGAGGUUGAAAACUCAGCUACGGAAAUCUCAACAGACUCUGAGUUUGAACAUGACGGAACAACUCCGACUCAACAAAACAUCCCGGAUAUUGUCAUCAGCGAGAGUGUUCAAGUGAAACGAGGUCGUCUGGAGGAGCCAAGGAAAGUCCAAAUGCUCAACAAACCUGUGAAUGGAAAGCUUCCAGAGACUAAGAAAGAUGUAGAACUAGAAUUCACUCCUUUGAUACCAGACAGACCAAGUUUAAACAACAUAAACAACAAUAAUGGACCAACUCCUUUGAUUAAUCCUCGUAGGGGUGAUUAUCUGUUGAACAGAACUCAUUCUACUGAAGGGAUCGCUUCAAAAAUAUCUUUAGAGCUUAAAAAACGUUACCUACUUGGUCCCUCUGGUUUAUCAGGAAACGUUAAGAAGUCCGGCUCUGCAUCAACAUUAGACUCAAGGUUUAAAAGUUUUGUCAGCCACAUUUCAGAACAACAAAAACUUUUAAAUCCAGCUCCAGAGCCAAGUCCUACAAUGCAGGCUAUUCUUCAAGGUGCAGAUAAAAUCCAUGUCUCUCCUUCUAUAACACAAUUGGGGAGAAAGGAAAAAGAACUCCCGGGAGUAGCUAACUUUAGCCACAUAUGUCAGCUCAAGGAUAAGGAAACAGUGCCUAUUGAAAAUCUUCCAACCUUAACAGAAACAAUUAAAGAGUCUUCUCAGCAGUCUGAUAAUACCACCAGAGAAAUAUCUGUGAUAGAAUCAAAGGAUACAAACGGCACAGUUGACCAAGGUGAUAGUAGACCUAGGAGUCCUGUCCACGAGACUUCGAUUGUUGUGCCAGAUUUGCCUCAGGCUAAGAAAGAAGAAGAGGAGGAGGAAGAUAUUGACAGUGAUUCCCUCUCAUCAGACAAUGACAGCUCCCUAGAAGAAGAGUCUGACCACAAGAGUCAGGGGCAAGUGAACAUUCCUCCCAAAGUAGAAAUCCACAACUCAAGAGGAGAGCUGAUGGAAGACGGAGAAGAGAACGAAGCAGUUGUUCCAAUAGUGGAGAGUAAACCUGAUGUAGCUGACACUGAGGAACCAGCAGCCCUCGAUAGUCUCAAUAUGGUGGUUCCAGACAUCUGCCAACACACUAGACCAACAGACUUCCUGCCUAAUGUUCUCUUCUCCAAUAGAAGUCAGGUGGAUCUUGUUCCUACAAAAGAAAAGGAUAGUAGUACCUUCCAAAAAAUAAUAUCUGUUCCUAGCACAAGUGAAAAGCUCUCUGAGAGAGGGCAGAUUUUAAAACAAGUUCCUACCACAGCAGAGCUGUAUGUGUCUGAAGAUAAAUCAACCGACGGUAAAGGAAGUGGUAAAAGUAGUCCAUCGUCCCCAAUCUCUGUCGGAGAUGAUGACAAAAGCUUACAAAACGAGUCCCUCAUGGCUGCCUUAACUGAAACUGAACUGUCAGACUGGGCGAGAGAUGAGGAUGUGGGGGUGUCAGAAAAUCUAGAAGACUUGGAGUUCAACAUAAACCCUCAAUAUAUCACUUACAGAAGGCAUCAGAAGCCGAGAAAUAAACGUAACUCUAGAGGGGCUGCAGCCAAAAUAGCAAGAACUGAAGAUUUUGACGAUGAAUUCGGACACGUGUGUGGUAGAGUGGACAAAGUGCCUCAAACUUCUAAUCUUUUAGUGAAUACAGACAAUAUUGAGUUCAUGGACACAGGUGGCGAAGAAGAAAGUAGCACUGAUGAGUAUUUGAAGAAUAGUGGCUACGUUCAGUUUGUAAAUCCCACAACGGAUGAUGAAGAUCUCAUCACUCCGACUGCUGAUACACCAAUAAACUGUCUGCCUGAUAAUGCAGAAGAUGGUGGCGACACAACAACAAGCAACAGUGAGGCUGUCACUAUCAUGGAGAGCCCUCUUGAUGCUCACAAGGAUUUUGAAGUCAAUCCAGUCAUUGAAUCCCCUGUCAUAGAGUCCACCCCAACACCUGAUCUCAGCAAUAAAACAUACGAGGAAUAUGUCAGAAGACAAGUUCUACAAGGUAGAAUAUCACCUUUUAGCAAUGUCAGAGAUUCAAUUGACAUAAGAAAAUCAAGGAAACACAGUGCCAGUAAGACAUCACUUUCCCUUUUAUCACCAGAAAAAACUCUAAAAGAGGAUAAAGAAAUUAUAAUCAUGGAAAAAGCAAAGCCUCAAACUACCUCACAAAAGCUAGAAGAGAUUUCCAAAGAAAGAUCAAAACAAAAAGAUUUAAUACAUGAAAUGGUUUUAGAAAAGCUGAUGGUUCAAGGAAAGUCUGCCCAAGAUCGGAAGCUCAAGAGGAACUCAAGAAGUACGCCCAGUCCUCGAUUGGGAUCUCAAAACUCAAUUAUCAGUAUACCAAGUGAUAAAAUAGAAUCGACUCAUGAAGUUGAUAAUACUAGCUCAAAAUUAAGUUCAGCAACCUCAAUACCAAAUGAAACAGACAACAAGGUACUAAAAGAAGAAAAUCACAAUGAAAUCCCCUCUCAGCUCACCCCUAAUGCAUUUGAAACACCAAACAAUAUUUCAACUGAAAAGUUUUUUACACCAAUGACCUCUUUCAAAGAACAAGCAGCUAAAAGUAGACCGCUUUCAAUGAACUUUUCUUUCCGGUUGCAAAAUAGUGCCAAUAAAAAUAAAGCCCUGCCUGUUACCCCUUUGACCAACCCAGAAGCAUACUCUCUUCCUGACAUUAGAAAAGCUUUAUUUGAGUGUGAACACAAUUUUAAGACUCCCAUUCCUCCUCCAAGGCUAAAGGCUUUAGAUAGAGAGCAAGUGCGGGCAUCUGCAAGAGCGAGAGCCAAAAUGCUCUCUGACGAAGAAUUGGGAUUGAGUCCAGAAGAGAGGAUCAAGAAGUUAAAAGAGAAAGUUUCUUUAAGGAAAUUUGAAAGAAGCGAAUCAUCUCCUGCUUCUAGCCAUAUUGAACCCGCUUCAAUAGACAAUUGUAUUCAGAUCUCUUUGUCUCGGUCAAAUGAGUCCCUCACUGUCGUCAACUCUCGAAUUCCUGAAAUAAAUUCAGAGAAGAAAGAAGACUUGGUGCCUUCUAAAACAUCUCCUCGAGUUAGUCCGAGACCUCUAGAAUCUUCUCCUCCUCCUCUAAGCAAGGACGAGUUAAGGCUGGAUAGUCAAGGGAAGAAGUCCAAGAGUAGGGACGGGAGGAAGAGCAUCAUACAGGUUGUGUCGUCUAUCUUCCACAAGAAGUCCCCGACGUCGUUGUCACCGCCCAAGUCUGCUCCUGCAUCCUCAUCUAGUCACUCCAAGUUUGGAAAGUUCAAACUGAGCAGAAACAAAGACAAAUCAAAGUCGGCCAACAAUUCAGACACAGAGGAUUAUUAUGAACAAAACGUACCAAUAGCGCUCAGCAAGAGCCUGAGCGAAUCAGAAGCCAGACGGAAGUUGAUCGACGAGUCAGCAGCUCCACCCAUUCCCCCUCCACCUAUAAACUAUCCCUCCUCACGCCAACAAUCAGAAGACAGCCUGUCCGAGCCAGAGGAAGGCGAGUCGCACGCCAGCGCAACAGUCGACAACAACUCUAUGCGCAAACGCAACAAAGUGUCACGCAAACUGGAGAGGCAAGCUCACCUUAAGAGGUUACGGAUGGCGCAGGAAAUUCAGCGCCAGCUGGAGGAGCUGGAGGUCAAACAGAGGGAACUAGAGACUCGGGGAGUGGAGCUGGAGAAGGCCAUCAGGGCAGACAACAGCAGUAGCGGAGGUGAGAACUCGGGGCUGCUGCGGGAGUGGUUUGAACUGAUGAGGGAACGCAGUGAGCUGCGGAGGUAUGAGAAGGAGCUUCUGGUGCGGAGACAGGAGAUGGAAUUGGAGGACAGACACGCUCGGCUACAACAGGAGCUGCGACUGAGCUUGGCCAAGGAUGACAAAACAAAAACAAAUGAAGAGGUAGCGUCAGAAGGUCGCAUUCUACGAGAGAUGCUAGAAAUCGUAGAGAGGAGGGAUUCGCUCAUAACUCAGCUGGAAGAAGAUCGGCAAAGCCGUAGUUAUGCUUGGGUUUAGCAUGUUCCCCCUUCCAUUCCUAUCAUUCAGCACUAGUAGUCAGUCGCAUGCCGCACAUAGAUAGCUUAGGUAUAAGGAGGAAGAUAAGGAUUUGGAGGCGGAAAUGUUAUCCAAAGGUCUCCGUCUCACAUCGCUGAGAAGAAAAGAGUCUGCAAUCUAGUUUUAAUAUUUUACUUACUUCAAUAGCCUUUAAACCACAGCCAUCCAAAAAAUGUUUUAAUCGUUUACUGAGGUUGUUAAUGGUAGCUUAAUCCGGACAUAAUAUUAUGUUUGUUGGCACUUUCUAUUUGAUAUGCUCAAUUAAUUUUUAUAACUAAAACAAAGAACAAAUAACACACUGUUGUCUCUUUGUUGUGUUGUUUUAUUGUGAUGGAUAAAGCUCAAACGCGAUCAUUCAUGUUAAUUUUACGAUAACGAUUUUUUAUGUCUUGAUCUUGAUUGCUACUGCUGUAAAAAUAUGAUGAAUUUGUUCUGAGUGCAUAAAAUGUGCUAGUAAUGUAGCGUAAUAAUAUAAUUAUUAACUGCAAAUAUUAUUAAAAUACUGGUAGAAUGUUGUAAAAUAAUUGAUCUGGGAUUGUUUGAAGUAAAAAAUUUAAUGAUUGUGAUUAUUUAUUUAUGUAAUGUCAUGUUUACUAAAAGCUUAAAACUAUUAUCAAUGAUUUUAUAUUUUCCCCAGCUAUUGAUAACAUUGGAAUACUGUAUUAACAAAUUUUAAUUCAAAUUAAGUGCCUUUGUGCAAACUAGUUUCAUUGAGUGAGACAUGUUUUGACGCAAGGUUUAUAUUGUUGUUUUGGUGCUUUUUAAAAAUUAAAUUACAGUAUACACAACUUAUUUGUCCUAAGUAAUUUUUAAGUAUUUACCAAUGGUAUUUAGAAUUAUAUAUUUUGAUUUUUUAACAUGAACAAUUUUUAAAGAUAUUAGGUUAAUGUUAAUAUUAGUCUUUUAGAACAUAGUUCCAGCCCUUUUAAAAAUUAACUCCUAGGCAAUUUACGUACUGAGAAAAGAAUUGAAGUAUUAGUAUUGAUUAAUCGUUGAAUUUCCUGAAACCACCAGGUUUUCAUGGAUUCAAGAAAGAAACUUAAGCAAUGCCUUCGUAAAUCUUUUUUUAUUAAUCUGUCAUAAUUUAUUUUGGGAGUUGAAUAGCUUAACUAAUCAUUAAAAUUAUUUAUAUGAAUCAAGGCAAACAUAACCUCUUUUAUAUUUUACUUUGUGUUCAUUUAACACGAACCAUGAAUUCAGCCUAAUUUUUGUAAAGUGUACAUAUAGGUAGUAUAUUUUUAAUAAAGUUGUUUUCGGUAGUUCAAGGAGUCGUGUAAGCACUAAGGCCAGACUGUGAUAAAAACCUCGAAAUGCACGCCUGCUCCUCACUACUAUAACCAAAUACUUGAGCUCUAUAUUAUAUAUAAAGUAUAUAUUUAAUAUUUCCUGGUUUCCAUUGUAUUAUGAUGAAUACACAGUACAGGUUGUGUAUUGUACAUUUUUGUCUAUACUUAUUGAAAAAUAUAUGCUUUUAUACUGUUU